rnacentral:lncRNA from 1 species
UGAUGCUGACAGAUGACACUGGAAGUAAUGGGGGCGGAGAGCACAAAACUGAGAUGGGCCCGAGAGACGUAUGCAGAAGGGAGGACAAUGCCCU